rnacentral:pre_miRNA from 1 species
UGAUGGAUGUCCAUUUGGUAGAUGUUUUUAAUUGUUCAUCCCCGGGUGAACAUUCAUCCGG